rnacentral:lncRNA from 1 species
UGGGAUUUCUUACCUUUUCUAAUGGUAUUUUCACUCUUAAAAUAAGUGCUACUUCUAGAGUGAAUGCUACUUCUAAGACUCCCUUGUUUGUCCUUUGUUUUUGUGUUGUGAUACCCUUUGCACCAAUUGGUCUUUCACGUUUUUGGCGUGGUUUAAUUUCUUUUGUUGUCUUAUUUAUCGAUUCUUUAGGAAUUGGUUUUCUGAUAGAUACUUCUAUCUUUGCUGGAG